AAAGAAGCCAACAAAACAUAUAACUGUGAAAAUUUAGGUCUCAGUGAAAUUCCUGACACCCUACCAAACACAACAGAAUUUUUGGAAUUCAGCUUUAAUUUCUUGCCUACAAUUCAAAAUACAACUUUCAGCAGACUCAUAGAUCUUACUUUUUUGGAUUUAACCAGGUAUGUAUCUGAGUUCCUGUGUACUCUUGAUGUUUUACUUAAGAAGAAACAAAAUUUGCAUUUGAAUUGUCCCCAGGAUCUUCUUUUGGGGCACAGGGACACUCUGCUUAUUCUGUAUUUUCAUUUACUCCUUCAUCUGAAAUACUUUAAUGCAAGUGAAGUGUAAUUUAAAUAAACAACAAUCAAUGGACAGGAAAGUGAGUUGUUUUCAAACUAGCUGCAUCAGCAGUACCAUUGAAGAAUUUCUAAGGAAUAUUAAAAAAAAGUGAAAAUAAAUUCUGCACUGAAUCAGACACCAUAUUAUACUAUAUUUUAACACAGUUGACUACUAUUAGGUGAAUCGCAUGUAACAAAAGUUAUGAGAAACACACAUACCUACUAAUUCUUUUUUUUUUUUUAAAUUGAAAAAAGAGUUCCAUUAUUUGGCUUUAGAGGCAGAAUCAGGAUUCCAUAUCCUGAACAAAUGUUUGAGAACCAGUGGACAAAAGUAUUACAAGAAAGUAUGGGAGGAAAACAGAAGGGAUGUGCAGCUUGUGUGUGUGUGUGUGUGUGUGUGUGUGUGUGUGUGGAGUGGGGGAAGGGACCCCACAUGUUCAUGACUUCUGUACCCCUUGCAGUAGUUCAAUGACUUCCACUUGUGUCUUUCCACUUGAGUUUCUGCAAAGUGGAAGAAAGCACACACCCAUAGCACUGUUUCAUCUUUACAAUCACCUCUGUGGGGUGCCAAUUAAUAUUACCACCCAUUUCUGCAGUUAGAUGCAGAAACUAUCAGUGUGUGUGUGUGUGUGUGUGUGUGUGUGUGUGUAAGUGUGUGUGUUUAAUCCAGUACUUUAAGAUGCAGUACCAGGAUGGAUUUCUCUUAACUUCUAGCAUUCUGUAGUUCAAUGGAGCAUUUUUACAUACAUCAUUUGACAUACAAUAAUUCUACAAAAUAGUCAUUAUUUUUGUAUUUCAUAGAUGAAAGAGGAAGGCUGAGUGUGGCAUGUAGCACAUGCCUAGCAUGUGUAAGGGCAUACGCUCAAUCCCCAGCAACUCUUUCUUCCCCCCAAAUAGGCUUUAACUUGCCAAGGAUGCCAAGGAUAAAUACAUACCAUGUAUUAUCUAUUAUACAUUACAUAUGGCAUAUUUUAUAUUACUUAAUAUAAUAAAUCACAGUUUGGUUUUGCCUACAAAAAAAAUCAAACCACUAAUUGUUCCUUAGAAUACAAAUAUAAACCUCUGAGUGUUCUAUCUAAAUAGGAAAGACAGACAUCUGGAAUAAAUUCCAAAUCAGAGCUUUCAGUACUAGGGCUAUUCAUUAAUUAUCUUGACAGACCAUCUGUGGGUAUGGAAGAAAGUUUUUUGUGUUGGAUAACAUAUAGUGUUUUAUGGUAUACAAAAGAUGGCUUUGGGAAUGUGGUGACAGCAUUUUCCCUUUUUUUUUCUAAUUAAUCAUUGUUAAAUACAAUUAUCUUUUCAAGGUGCCAGAUUAACUGGAUACAUGAUGACACUUUUCAAAGCCAUCAUCAGUUGAGCACACUGAUAUUAACUGGAAACCCUCUGAUAUUCAUGGCAGAAACAGCAUUUAACGGGCCCAAGUCGCUGAAGCAUUUGUUCUUAAUUCAAACAGGAAUAUCCAGUCUUGAGUUUAUCCCACCUCACAAUCUGGAAAACUUGGAAAGUUUGCAUCUGGGGAGCAACCAUAUUUCUUCCAUUAAGCUCCCAAAUGAUUUCCCAGCAGGGAAUCUGAAAGUCCUGGAUUUUCAGAAUAAUGCUAUACACUACCUUUCUAGAGAAGAUAUGAACUCUCUGAAGCAGGCCACCAACCUAAGUCUUAACUUCAAUAGCAAUGACAUUAAAGGUAUUGAGCCUGGGGCUUUCAGUUCACAAUUCUUCCAAAGCUUGAACUUUGGAGGGACUCGUGACUUGUCUGUCAUAUUCAGUGGUCUACGGAACUCUACUAUUCAAUCUCUCUGGUUGGGGACAUUUGAGGACAUUGAUAACCAAUAUCUAAGUUCAGCCACAUUUCAGGGUCUUUGUGACACAUCUGUUGAGAGCAUCAACCUGCAAAAGCAUCAUUUCUCUGACUUCUCCUCCACCACGUUUCGAUGCUUUGCCCAACUCCAGAAUCUGGAUCUAACGGCCACUCACCUGCAAGAAUUACCCUCUGGGAUUGAGGGUAUGAACUCACUCAAGAAAUUAGUUCUCAAUGUAAAUAAAUUUGACCAAUUGUGUCAAAUCAAUGCUGCCAAUUUCCCCUCCCUUACACACCUCUAUAUCAAAGGCAACAUGAAGAAGCUUCACCUCGGUACUGGCUGUUUAGAAAAACUAGAGAAUCUUCAGAAACUUGAUUUAAGCCAUAGCGGCAUAGAAGCUUCUGAUUGCUGCAAUCUGCAGCUCAAAAAUCUUCCCCACUUGCAAAGUCUAAACCUGAGCUACAAUGAGCUCAUUGGUUUUCAGAGGGAGGCGUUCCAAGCAUGUCCUCAGCUAGAGAUCUUGGAUUUGUCAUUUACCCACUUACAUGUGAGUGCACCACAAAGUCCUUUCCAAAACCUUCAUCACCUGAAGAUUCUGAAUCUCUCUCAUAGCUUCCUUGAUACCAGCAAUCAGCUUCUUCUAGCAGGUCUGCCAGACCUUCGGCAUCUGAACUUGCAGGGGAAUCGUUUUCAAGAUGGGAGUAUCCCGAAGAACAACCUACUUCAGACAGUGGGAAGCUUGGAGAUUCUGGUUUUAUCCUCCAGUGACCUCUUGUCCAUAGACCAGCAGGCUUUCCACAGCCUUGAUAAAAUGAGUCAGGUAGACUUAAGUCACAAUAAUCUGACAUCAAAUAGCAUUGAUGCUCUUAGCCAUCUUAAGGGGAUCUACCUCAAUUUGGCGGCUAAUGCCAUUGGCAUNUAGAUUUUGGUUUUGUUUCACUUCGAGUUUAGCAAUCUUUUUGUUGAAACAAAAUACAAGCCCUAAAUGUGAGGUUAAAUGCAUUUUCACCAAGUGAAUAUAUUCAUAUAACCAGCACAUAGAUGAGAACACAGAACAUGCUCAGUACAUGGAAGCUUUCCUCAUGCCUCCUCCCUGUCACUAAUCCCCAAAGGCAUCCAGUCCUCUAACUUCUAUCGUCAUCAUUCUUUUUGCCUGGAUUUGAGCUUAUAAACGUGGAAGCCCAUGGUGUGCAUUUUUUGUCUGUCUGCCUUCUUUUGCUCAACGUUAAAUCCUUGGUGGUGUGUGCAGCAGUCAUUCGUUCAAGCUCAUGACUGAACCACACUGUUUGAUCAGUGAGCUGCCAUUUAUUAAUGCCUUCUACUGUUAAUGGAUAUUGGCAUUGUUUGUAGUUUUUUGACUGUCAUGAAUGAUGCUAUUUUGGGUGUUGUUGUCUUUAAUUAACAAAGGUAUGAAUAUUUAUUUGGUGCCUUAGAAUGGAUGUAUUUGGUCAUAGGGUAUACAUAAUUUUAACUUUGAUAUUGCCAAAUGGUUUCCUAAAAUGUUGGUACCAAUUUAUACUAUUGGAAAAGUUUAUGAAUUCUAAUUGCUCCACAGAUUCACUAGCAUUUUAUUUUUUUAUUUUUUUUAAAGAGAGAGAGAGAGGCAAUUUUUAAAUAUUUAUUUAUUUAUUUUUAGUUUUUGGUGGACACAACAUCUUUAUUUUUAUGUGGUGCUGAGGAUCGAACCCAGCACCCAGCGCGUGCCAGGCUAACUUGUUACCGCUUGAGCCACAUCCCCAGCCCUCACUAGCAUUUUAUAUUGUUUGUUUUUAAGUGUUGGCCCUUGUGAUGGGAAGGUAGUAGUAUUUCCCUGAGAUUUAAUUUUUGCUUGCUUGCUUUCUUUUGUUCUUUCUUUCUUUCUUUCUUUCUGUGGUGCUGGGGAUUGAACCCUAAUUUUUGUUUUCUUGAAGAAUAAUUAAUUUGAGCAAAUAUUCAUACUUUGGCUAAUCAUUACAUUACAUGUGUGUAUGUUUUGUCCAGGAUCAGACACAGGGCUUUGUGCAUACUAGGCAAGAGCUCUAUCACUGAGCUACAUUCUCAGCCCUGCAUAAUCCCUUUUAUGUGUGUGAGGUACCUGUUCAAGUCUCUUGCCCAUUUUCUCAUAGGCUGUCUUGAUUUGUAGAUAUUGUUUAUGUUUUGUGAAUAAAAAUCCCAUAUGAGAAUGCAAAUUUAUCUUCUCCUACUCUGUGACUUAUCUUUCUACUCCCCUUAAUGGUAUCUUUUGCUAAAUAGAAGUUCUUAAUUUUAUUAUAGCUCAAAGUAUCAUUUUUCCUUUAGUUUCCUUGCAUGUCCAUGCUUAAGAAAUUUUGGUUAUCCCAAGACUAUGAUGAUAUUAUCCAGUGAUUUUGUCUAGGAAUUUGUUUCAUAUUUAUUUCUACUUCUAUGUUUCAUGCAUGCCAGGUGGCAGUUGGGAAUAAUUUUUAAUAAAACUUUUUGAUAAAAAGGAGUUUAAACUGGACUGGGGUUGUGGCUCAGCAGUAGGGCACUUACCUAGAACAUGUGAGGCACUGGGUUUGAUCCUCAGCACCACAUAAAAAUAAAUAAACAAAAUAAAGGUAUUGUGUCCAACUACAACAUAUAUAUAUAUAAAUGUAUAUAUGGGAGUUCAAACCUACCAAUGCAUUUGAGAGACAUUACAAUGAACACUCACAAACCUUUCAAGCAGAUUCUUCCAUUGCUAGAUGUUGUAUGUUUUCUCUGUGUGUGUGUGAAUGUGAAAUAUAUGUAUAUAGAGAGGUAAGUAACAAAAUUAUAGCCAUGACCAAGCCUUCAGAGGAUGACAAAUAUGAAGAGUAGCAGGAAUCCAGUGUUCAGUGAUUUGGAUUUUGAUCAUGGGAACAUUUUACAUGCAACUUAGAAUAGUUACUUCAAGAGGGCAGGCAGGCCUUCCCAUUUCAAAUGGGCUCCUCUUAACCAUUCUCUUCCCCCAAAACCACAAUAGGAGAGUGUCCUUCAGUCUCUAGGUAUGGAGCAGGGGUCCUCAGCAGAGCACUUUUUGAGGGGUACUCAAGUUUAUGGAUGUAAGAACUUCCUAAUAGCUUUAGAUAAUGAUAUGAUGCUAUGCAGAUCCCAUUAAGGGCUAACUUCUUUUAGUACUGACACACAUUUUAAUCCUCAUAGUAAGACUGCAAGAUGAGAUUAUCAUCCCCAGUCCACAGCUGGAGAAACCACAUGUCCAGACAACAGAAUUUUGUGUUAAGAGCUGGGACUUGAACUCCAGUGGACUGAUUAUAAAGACAAAAUAAAUAAAUAAACAAACAAACAAACAGACAAACAUAUAAUUGGAAUGCCCAAAGUUUUAGGGAUGUGCCUUCUUGGGGGUGUUUGUUUUAUUUUGUUUUCAGAGAGUAAUCAUUGCUCUAAGAUUCAUCUUACUAGCCAAAUUGCUCUCUCUUGGAUAGAGGUGUGAUUAAAGAGGGAGGGUUGGGGGGCAGUGUCCCAGACUCCUUGUGCAUGCAUGUGUCAAGUGCAGAUGAGACGCCUGAAAAGGUGGGAAUAAGCACUUGAGUGGAAUUCAAAGCGUUCCAAAUUAGAAAAUGCUUCCACACUUGCAAGGAGAGAAAAUACAGUGGGAUGGGAGGGAGUUAGAGAUACAUUGCAGAAAGAAGCAAAAUAAGAUCCUGAUUGAAAAAAUGCAAAUGAAUACCUGCAGGGAAAAGGGAUUGCAAAUAUAAAUGUAGCACUUGGGAGCCUUGAUCUGGGUAAAAGGCACAGCUCUGAGACCAAGCUGGAGACAAAAUGAUUGGCACAGGUCCCAGGGUACAGUGAGUCCUAAGCAAAUGCCCGUUGAUUUUGAAUAGGGGUGGGCAUAGAACAGUUGUCAUGAAUACCAGGCAGCUUUACCAGAGUUAUGUCAGAAGGAUCCUGUCUGCAAUUGCCACCAGCCACAUUAGAGGAAUAAGAAAGCAACUUUGGAAACUGACCAUCUACUGAAUUAUAGAAAGACAAGACUGGGCUUGUGGGAAGUGGACAUGUGGAUCUCAGGGAAACUACAGUGUGGGUUGUGUCUGUCUGGAUAUAAAAAUAAAGCAUGUAGUGCUGGCAGUGACCAAGCUGUCUGUUCCUUUUCUGCAUCCUGUCUUCAUUCACUGAAGAAUUGUAACUCUGCUGUUCUGCAACCCUGUGCUGAUCUAUCAGAACUUUCUGAAAGUUUUGAUCUGAAUCUUGACUGGGAGAAAGACACAACAUGACUGAUAUAGUAUUUUUACCAAAAAAAAAAUGUAUAACCUGAGUCAAUUAUGAGGAAACAUAUGAACCCAUAAUGAGAAACAUUCUGCUAGAUAUGAGGCUGUAUUCUUCAGAAGAUACCAGUGUCAUAACACAUGAUGACAGGCUAAAGAAUUGUCUCAAAUUAAAGGAAUCUAAGGAGCUAUGACAACGAAAUGUAAUCAGUAUAUGAUCCUGGGUUGGAAAAACAAAAAUUACUGUAAAGGACAAUGUUGAGACAAGUAGCAAAAUUUGAAUAUAGACUAUGUUGGUAGUAACAUUGAAUCAGCAUUAAAUAUUAAAUAUUCUGAAUUUGAUAAUAGCAUUGUGAUUAUAUAUCCUUAAGACAUAUAAGAUAUUUAGGGGUGAAAGUUCAUGCUAUCUUACUCCCAUUCAUAAAGAAUGAGACUAAUAGUCUCAUUAUGCUAGCAACAGCAGAGCUGUAGUAAAGCUGCCUGGUAUUCAUGACAACUGUCCCAUGCCCACCCCUGUUCAAAAUCAAGGGGCACACACACACAUGCACUUUCAACCUUAAAAAAGACAGUCUACUAAAUAUAAUUGAAUGCUUCUUGGAUGAUUCUGGAGUGUGUGGUGCUUUGGUAUCCCAUCAUCAUACCAAUAUUGACAGUAUAAUUGUGAUUACACAAACUGUAAGGGAGGGCCACGUGUGUGUUGAGUCCAAGACAUUUCCGAAAAUCUGUUUGGUUUUUAAAUUCUCUUAGCUGCAUCUCUUGUCACUUCCUCUUUCUCCUGACAAUCAAGGGCAGAGAGUUUAUUGCCAUUUCCACCUAACUUGAGAUUACAAAGCACAAGCUUUGGGCAGGCUGCUGGUAACCCUUGGGCCCUAGCUCUCUGCUAGGUAAAAGAGAUCUUUUCAUUUACUAACUUUUCCUUUUCCUAGUUGUUCCCUCAGGCCACUGGCUCAGUAGAGGUCCUCCUGGAUUCUCAAUUUUCUGAAUCACAUUAUUUCAAUAAAGUACUUACUAAAGCACACAAGAGGCUGAGACAUGGAAUAAUUUAGGUGUCACGGGGCACUUGCAUAUUCAGUAGAAGGAAGGAAUUGCCAGCAUUGAGACUUUUGCUGUAGGGUCAGAAUAGAGCAAGACGAAUUGGGGGAAGUCCCCUUUCUCCAAGCGUACAUGAAAUCAGUUAUGCCAAUGGAGACCAGAAAAGAAAAUUGUCUCCUUCAAGCUGAUCAGCACCAUGGCAACUAUAGGGACUGCAGCUGCACAUACACAUACUUUCUGGGUUGUCUGGCCACCAAGGACAGUAUAGCAAAAUAAAAUAUUUUUUUUCCUCACCAGUCAGUUAAAUCCAAGUUUCCAAUGCAAACUGUGCAUUUCAAGGACAUUAUAUAGAUUUGCAGCAGUGCCUAGAGGACUUUGGGUCUAUAAGAAUGAAGAAUGAAUUACAAGGAAAUAUAAAUAUGGCAUUUUCAUCAGUGACAACUAUGAUAUUGUCACAAUAUUGAAGGAAACUAGUGAUUUCUUAUAGAUGUACAUGCUCACUGUUGCUAUAAAAAAUGCACAACUAAGCAGAAAUUGGAGAAAAGCAAAAAAAAAAAAAAAAAGAUUAAAAUGGCAACAUCCUGAGCCUCAUGAUUCAGGGAAAAGAAGAACACUUCCAGUUCUGUUUCCAGCUAAGCAGGUCUCUUUGCAACUGAUCUGGAGAGCAGCUGAUCUGGAGUUUGGUGGGAUAGAUCUUUUGCAGUCAGGGCUCAGAGGAGCCUCUAAGAAGCCUAGGUAUGAUCAGGAGAGGCAAGGACAAGAAGGAUGGAUGAAGUCACCUGGGGCCUGAGACAUCUAAGAGCUGGUUCAUGGUCCUUGGUACCCAUCUCUUGGGGCCUCCAAGGGGCAUGUGUCCUGGAGAUCAUUUCUUUCUUACCUAGGAAGCUUCUACAGGAAAGACAUGCCCCUUCCUAGGUGCCCCCUUACUCUUCAUGCUGAAGUGUCAUCCAGAUUAAUUAUGAUUACAUCAUCAUAACUGUUUCCAACUUUUACCUAGUUAGGUUAAGAUUUUUAAAUUUUGGAUAAGCAACCUCCACAUAAAUAUCACUCCACAUCCAGCAAACAUCACCAUUUUACUUACUAAUUUUUAUCUGUCCAUUCCUCCUAUCAUUUUUUGCCGGGUAUUUUUAAGCAAAUUCCAAACAUCACAUCAUUUUAAAUCUAAAUACUUAAAUAUGCAUCUCAAAAGAAAAAAAAAAGGAAUAUUGAUUGUAUAUAACCAUAAGGCCUCUAACAUUAACAAAAUUCAUAAUUUCUUUUUUUAUUGGAAUAUUACUCAGCUUUAAAGAAGAGAGAAAUUAUGGCAUUUGCCAGUAAAUGGAUGGAGUUGGAGAAUAUCAUGCUAAGCAAAAUAAGCCAAUCUCAAAAAACAAAAGCCUGUUAUGUUUUCUCUCAUAUGCAGAUGCUAAUUCAUUAUUUCUUAAUACCAUCAAAUUCUAUCUCAUUUAAAUGCCUCUGUUUAUCUAAAAAUGUCUUUUUCUAACUGUUCUACUUGAGUCAUAAUCUAAACAAAGCCUAGUCUGUUAUUUGUUAGUUGUAUUUCUUAAGUAGCUUUUGUACCACUUUGUGUUUUUUUUAAAGCUGUCUCCCUUCUCUUUCUUUCUCUCUCUUUCACAUACUAAUAAAACAAAGAUGUUUUAUAUUAUGUGCAACUUUUUGCAUUUGAUUAACUGCUACCAUUAGCUUAAAUCUGUCAUAUCACUUGUAGAUGUGAAAAGUAGACCUAAGAUCUUCAUUGAAUUCAAGUUAAUUACUUUCUUUUUGGCAAGAAUACUUCAUAGGUGGCUCUGUGUACUUCAUAUUGUACUAUGUCAGAAAGUGAAUAAUGUCUCAUUGUCCUAUUUUUCUGAUGCCAAUUUAAUAUUAUUUGCUUAUUUUCAAGAUGAAACAAACACUUCUAUUUACUCCAAAUCAAAACUAACCAAAGUAUAAUCAGAGGAAUCUUAUUUAUAUUUUUACUCCUCUAUCGGGUACUUUCUGUCCUCUUAAAGAUCACUGAAUUUUUUAGCCAUAGUUUCUUUUAGAAAAUAUGAUAAUAUAUAUUUUUUGGUACCAGGGAUUUAACCCAGGGGCACUUUCCCACUGAGCCACAUUCCUAGCACUUAUUUAGAGAUAGGGUCUUGUUAAGUUGCUUUAGGGGCUCACUAAGAAGCUGAGGCUGGCUUUGAACUCAGGAUCCUCUUGCCUCAGUCUCCCAAGCCACUGGAAUUACAGGCAUGCACCAUUGAGCCCAGCUCAAGUAUCCUUGUUAUGAAAACCUAGCAUACUCUAUGCUAUAUACACUGCAUACACUGUUAGACGCUUUGUUUUUUCACCUUACAUCAUAUCCUGGAUCUCACUCCCUACCAAUUUAUGCAGAUCUUUCUCAUUGUUGCUGAGGUUUCCAUUUUGGUCAAUUAUUUCCACAUUGAUAGAUAGCCUGGUUUUGCUAUUACAAAUAUAUAUAUAUAUAUAUAUAUAUAUAUAUAUAUAUAUAUAUAUAUAUAUAAUGAAUAAUAUCAUGGACAAAUCAUGUUGUUUUUUAAUAUUUUUUUUAGUUGUAGUUGGACACAAUACCUUUAAUUAAUUAAUUUAUUUAUUUUUAUGCUGUGCUGAGAAUCAAACCCAGUACCUCACACACACUAGGCAAGCACUCUACCACUGAGCCACAACCCCAGGCCCUCAUGUUGUGUUUUUGCAAGAACAUAUUUGGUAAGGAUUACUAAAAGUGGGAUUGCUGCUCAAAGGGUAAAAUGUGUCUAAUUUUUCUAGAUAGUCAAUCAAAUCUCUAAAUCCUAUAUUAAUUUCCAUUAUUUCUCCCAUCAGAAAGAAGCCAACAAAACAUAUAACUGUGAAAAUUUAGGUCUCAGUGAAAUUCCUGACACCCUACCAAACACAACAGAAUUUUUGGAAUUCAGCUUUAAUUUCUUGCCUACAAUUCAAAAUACAACUUUCAGCAGACUCAUAGAUCUUACUUUUUUGGAUUUAACCAGGUAUGUAUCUGAGUUCCUGUGUACUCUUGAUGUUUUACUUAAGAAGAAACAAAAUUUGCAUUUGAAUUGUCCCCAGGAUCUUCUUUUGGGGCACAGGGACACUCUGCUUAUUCUGUAUUUUCAUUUACUCCUUCAUCUGAAAUACUUUAAUGCAAGUGAAGUGUAAUUUAAAUAAACAACAAUCAAUGGACAGGAAAGUGAGUUGUUUUCAAACUAGCUGCAUCAGCAGUACCAUUGAAGAAUUUCUAAGGAAUAUUAAAAAAAAGUGAAAAUAAAUUCUGCACUGAAUCAGACACCAUAUUAUACUAUAUUUUAACACAGUUGACUACUAUUAGGUGAAUCGCAUGUAACAAAAGUUAUGAGAAACACACAUACCUACUAAUUCUUUUUUUUUUUUAAAUUGAAAAAAGAGUUCCAUUAUUUGGCUUUAGAGGCAGAAUCAGGAUUCCAUAUCCUGAACAAAUGUUUGAGAACCAGUGGACAAAAGUAUUACAAGAAAGUAUGGGAGGAAAACAGAAGGGAUGUGCAGCUUGUGUGUGUGUGUGUGUGUGUGUGUGGAGUGGGGGAAGGGACCCCACAUGUUCAUGACUUCUGUACCUCUUGCAGUAGUUCAAUGACUUCCACUUGUGUCUUUCCACUUGAGUUUCUGCAAAGUGGAAGAAAGCACACACCCAUAGCACUGUUUCAUCUUUACAAUCACCUCUGUGGGGUGCCAAUUAAUAUUACCACCCAUUUCUGCAGUUAGAUGCAGAAACUAUCAGUGUGUGUGUGUGUGUGUGUGUGUGUGUGUAAGUGUGUGUGUUUAAUCCAGUACUUUAAGAUGCAGUACCAGGAUGGAUUUCUCUUAACUUCUAGCAUUCUGUAGUUCAAUGGAGCAUUUUUACAUACAUCAUUUGACAUACAAUAAUUCUACAAAAUAGUCAUUAUUUUUGUAUUUCAUAGAUGAAAGAGGAAGGCUGAGUGUGGCAUGUAGCACAUGCCUAGCAUGUGUAAGGGCAUACGCUCAAUCCCCAGCAACUCUUUCUUCCCCCCAAAUAGGCUUUAACUUGCCAAGGAUGCCAAGGAUAAAUACAUACCAUGUAUUAUCUAUUAUACAUUACAUAUGGCAUAUUUUAUAUUACUUAAUAUAAUAAAUCACAGUUUGGUUUUGCCUACAAAAAAAAUCAAACCACUAAUUGUUCCUUAGAAUACAAAUAUAAACCUCUGAGUGUUCUAUCUAAAUAGGAAAGACAGACAUCUGGAAUAAAUUCCAAAUCAGAGCUUUCAGUACUAGGGCUAUUCAUUAAUUAUCUUGACAGACCAUCUGUGGGUAUGGAAGAAAGUUUUUUGUGUUGGAUAACAUAUAGUGUUUUAUGGUAUACAAAAGAUGGCUUUGGGAAUGUGGUGACAGCAUUUUCCCUUUUUUUUUCUAAUUAAUCAUUGUUAAAUACAAUUAUCUUUUCAAGGUGCCAGAUUAACUGGAUACAUGAUGACACUUUUCAAAGCCAUCAUCAGUUGAGCACACUGAUAUUAACUGGAAACCCUCUGAUAUUUAUGGCAGAAACAGCAUUUAACGGGCCCAAGUCGCUGAAGCAUUUGUUCUUAAUUCAAACAGGAAUAUCCAGUCUUGAGUUUAUCCCACCUCACAAUCUGGAAAACUUGGAAAGUUUGCAUCUGGGGAGCAACCAUAUUUCUUCCAUUAAGCUCCCAAAUGAUUUCCCAGCAGGGAAUCUGAAAGUCCUGGAUUUUCAGAAUAAUGCUAUACACUACCUUUCUAGAGAAGAUAUGAACUCUCUGAAGCAGGCCACCAACCUAAGUCUUAACUUCAAUAGCAAUGACAUUAAAGGUAUUGAGCCUGGGGCUUUCAGUUCACAAUUCUUCCAAAGCUUGAACUUUGGAGGGACUCGUGACUUGUCUGUCAUAUUCAGUGGUCUACGGAACUCUACUAUUCAAUCUCUCUGGUUGGGGACAUUUGAGGACAUUGAUAACCAAUAUCUAAGUUCAGCCACAUUUCAGGGUCUUUGUGACACAUCUGUUGAGAGCAUCAACCUGCAAAAGCAUCAUUUCUCUGACUUCUCCUCCACCACGUUUCGAUGCUUUGCCCAACUCCAGAAUCUGGAUCUAACGGCCACUCACCUGCAAGAAUUACCCUCUGGGAUUGAGGGUAUGAACUCACUCAAGAAAUUAGUUCUCAAUGUAAAUAAAUUUGACCAAUUGUGUCAAAUCAAUGCUGCCAAUUUCCCCUCCCUUACACACCUCUAUAUCAAAGGCAACAUGAAGAAGCUUCACCUCGGUACUGGCUGUUUAGAAAAACUAGAGAAUCUUCAGAAACUUGAUUUAAGCCAUAGCGGCAUAGAAGCUUCUGAUUGCUGCAAUCUGCAGCUCAAAAAUCUUCCCCACUUGCAAAGUCUAAACCUGAGCUACAAUGAGCUCAUUGGUUUUCAGAGGGAGGCGUUCCAAGCAUGUCCUCAGCUAGAGAUCUUGGAUUUGUCAUUUACCCACUUACAUGUGAGUGCACCACAAAGUCCUUUCCAAAACCUUCAUCACCUGAAGAUUCUGAAUCUCUCUCAUAGCUUCCUUGAUACCAGCAAUCAGCUUCUUCUAGCAGGCCUGCCAGACCUUCGGCAUCUGAACUUGCAGGGGAAUCGUUUUCAAGAUGGGAGUAUCCCGAAGAACAACCUACUUCAGACAGUGGGAAGCUUGGAGAUUCUGGUUUUAUCCUCCAGUGACCUCUUGUCCAUAGACCAGCAGGCUUUCCACAGCCUUGAUAAAAUGAGUCACGUAGACUUAAGUCACAAUAAUCUGACAUCAAAUAGCAUUGAUGCUCUUAGCCAUCUUAAGGGGAUCUACCUCAAUUUGGCGGCUAAUGCCAUUGGCAUUAUCUCACCCCAUCUCCUCUCCAUCUUGUCCCAGCAGAGCACUAUUAAUUUAAGUCACAAUCCCCUGGACUGCACGUGCUCAAAUAUUCACUUUUUAACAUGGUACAAAGAAAACCUGCAAAAACUUGAGGACUUGGAGGAGACUGUGUGUGCAAAUCCCCCAUCACUAAAGGGAGUUCAACUGUCUGAUGUCCGGCUGUCCUGUGGAAUUACCCCCGUGGGAAUUUUAUUUCUAACAGUAUUUUUCCUCUUGGUCUCCAUUCUACUCAUUUUCGCAAUUAAAUUCUUUCUCAGGUGGAAAUACCAACACAUUUAGUGCUGAAGGCUUCUAGAGAAGGCAAAUAGAACGUGUUUGGCACAACUGCCUUAACUGGAGAAAUAGUUGGAUGUGGAUAACCAGACUCUUCAGACCAGCUCCUGGUGUUGGGCUGGGAUUGACUGUGCUUUUUAAGUUUUUUACUUUUUACUUUUAUUUUGUUUUGUUUUGUUUUUGUUUUGUUUGUUUGUUUGUUUGUUUUGUUUUGUUUUUUUGAGCUUCUUACCCUGAUGAGUCCUUCCUGGCAGGUAAACUGACUGGGGCCAGAGGACCCUGCUAUGGGAGGUACCUUACCAUUUAUUUCCUCACAUGGAAGAUGACUGAAGUUGGGGAGGGAGCCUUGGCAAUGCCACCUGCCUUCCACUCACUGAGAGACCUCACAGAACCUCAUCCCUGGAAGGAGAUCACCAUCCCCAUAACUUGACAAUGCUGAGGCCAACCCUAUCCACUUGUACUUUCUCCCAUAUCUAAGUCAUUAUGCUUGAGUCAAAAUUCUCAAUAAUGUAGCCAUUUGGAAAACUUAGUCCAGGGAAAAGUCUCAUUGAAUAUUUUAAAUGAGAAAAAGAAUAAUGCAACCUGGGCAUGGUGAUGCACACAUGUAAUCCCAGUGGCCUGGGAGGCUGAGACAGGAGGAUGGUAAGUUUGAGUCCAGGCUCAGCAACUAAGCAAGACCCUGUCUCAAAAUAAGAAACAAAAAGGGCUGAGGAUGUUAAGUGGUUAAGUGCCCCAGGGUUCAAUCUCUGGUAUCAAAAAAUGAAACAAACUAAAACAAAAAAAGAAUUUAAAAGACUGAGAAAUGAAUUGUGCUUUCAAAUAGACUCCAUUAAUCUACUAGGUCCUUAGGUUUCUAGGUCUUGAUAAUGCCUCUGGAAUGAAAAUAACUACAAAAAAAAAAAAAAACAAACAAAACAAGCAAACAAAAACCAUUCCUUUACCCCUUAAUCCCUGAAGUCUAGGAUUUUAUUCACCUCCAUCCUUCACACCUUCACUGCCUGUCUGGUGUUCUGGCUUUUAUGUGGUAGAUCUCACUUAGUAAUGGGCUUCGGUCCAAAAUGCUCUUCUUGUCUAGGUGUCUAGUCCUCAGAAGCCUCUUUCCCAUGGAAUGGUGAGAUAAAUGGUGACUGGUUCCCAGACUGGUCCUCAAACAUCUAUUUAUCUCAGAGAGCUGCUUACAAUGAAAACUAGUGGAAGAAGCCAUCCCUACACACUAGCUGUUAGGAACACAGUAAAGCUGGCUUCAUGAUAGUUUCUGUUGAGGCUGAGGGUGUCAGUGAAGGUCAUGCCAGCAAUAGACACGGGACAGAGUCAUUGAGUACAAAUAGACAAAGAGGAUGAAGAAGCUGGCAGUGUCAACACUGAGACCUUCCCCAGGCCCAGUGAGUCCCAUUUAACUGGGCCUUGCCCUUCUGAGGCUGGAUUAUUGGACAAGCUUACUGGAGCUCUUGUACUCAGCUGCUGCAUUUAUAGCCCACUUCUUCCUCCUCCAUAUCCAUGGAUUCAAGCAACUGCAGAGGGACAAUGUUUGAAAAAAAAAAAAAAACCUCCAAGUGUACAGAAUAUGCACAGAAAAUUUUCAUGUCAUUGUUCCCUAAGCAAUAUAGCACAACAAUUGUUUACAUAGUACUAAUAUUGUUUGGGAUAUUUAUAAGUAAUGUAGAGAUUAUUUAAAGUGUAUGGGAAGAUGCGUGUAGGUUAUCUGAAAAUACUGUGCCAUUUUAUAUAAGGAACUCGAGUAUCUGGGAAUUCUGGAAUCUGUGAGAGGUCCUGGAACCAAUUCUCUAUAGAAACCAAAGGGUGACUACAUAAGGGCUCGAUUAAGUUCUACUAUCAAUUUUUAGGUCAAAGAGAGUAUCAUUCUGAAAUUCUGCUUGGAUAUCAAAGUAAAAGUUGAUCAAUUUUAAUAUCCAAUCUGAAAUUUUUUGCCCUUAGACUAAAGGCAUAAUAGUGGACAUGAUCAUGGAAUGUGGGAAUUCAUCCUCUUUGCCUCUUCUUCAUUCCCUGGAAAAGCUGGACAGGAAGGGAACAGCAAUGGAAGAACCUCUUGGGGGCUCAGGAAUUACAGGCUUUCUUGCUUGUUCCUUUUUGCCUGGAAGAUGCUGCGGGCAUCUCCCGAUGACUGGUUCCCUCCCAUCCCUGAGAUCUCAGUGCUGGUAUCCACUCCUCUGAGGGAGCUCUUCCUUGACCUGGCCAGUCCAAACCAAAUUAGGCCACACCCAAUGCUCUCACUAGCACCUCCAUCAUCUUUAUUGUUAAUCAGCUAUAGGAUUAUCCUCCUCAUUUUGUUUUAAUUUGUCUAGCUUGUCUUUUUUACCCCCAAAUGUAAGCUGCACAUGAGGGUCUUUACCCAAUGGUGUCCUACAAGUGCCUGGGACAAAAUAAGGACUCGAUAUAUUUUCAGUAAUUGCUGACAUUUGCUGGCCUUCUGACCCCUAAACCCUUAUCAGCACCUACUUCCAUCCCCAUGACCAGACAUACCAACCUUUAGCUUCAGUUGACAUCUCCAAUAUUUCCUAUGCCUCCCACAUAUUUCUCACCAGAAUAACCUAGGGCAACCUAGGAUAAGAAGUGGAUUCUUGUGCCUUGCCUCCAGAUGUUGAGAUUCUGUCAGACUAAGAUUAGCCCUGGAUUCCCAGCCAAAUGACUGACUCCAGUAAAAUCCAUUUUUAUUCUUAAUGAUACAUGUAUCCCUCUUACUUCUCUCAUCUUGUGAUAUUUGACUUCAAAUGCAUUUCUCCCACGGAAGAUCCAUAUUCUAAGAAUUUGGUCUUAGACAACACCAACCCAUUAGUUUCCUAGGUAUUCUGUCAAUGUGAUCUCCUUCCUGUCCUAGGGCUUUAAGCUGCAGAUGGGAAAUAUUAAUUGUUGACCUACCACCCCUUAGCCAUACUCUUCACUAUAAUAUUUAAUGGGUAACUUGAAAAAACAAAACUAUUCUGUAGAAAAAACUCUGAUGCAGGUUGCAUUACAUUAAAGGUAGCAAAGUUUCACAUGUUAGAAAGGCAUAAUUGUUCAUCCUGCUUUCAUUGAUCACCAUGCUCCCUCCCAUAUGAUACAACUAGCUGCUCCAUAACUGCACACUGAUCUAAGGCUUUGUGACAGUUCCUCUGUUUCAAGCAACAGUAAAUUCACCUCCAAAAAGUCAGAAAGGGAGUUUUUUGAUGGCUGCUGUCAAUUUUAUUGCUUUAUCUGGUUACUAGGAUAGAAUCUGUAGACAUAGUGUGUUUAUUGGUUUUAUGUAUUGUGUGUUGUUGCUGCUCUGACAAGCUACUCCUAUAAAAAUGUGUUAUUAUUGCAUGAUGUAGCUCAGUGAGCUGACCCUGCAUUUCAAAGUGUACUGAAGCAAAUAGCAUUGAAGUCCAUAAAAGCUGACUGGCCUCCAUCACAGAGGAUUCUCUGCGUGAGCUGCAACUCCUACAAUCUGAGGAAGAAUUAUACCUUUCCCUGUGCCAGCAGCCACUGCUAUUAACUGAGCACAGCACAACCUCAAACACAGGCAUUAUCUGAAAAUUUUCAAAACAGGAAACUCUUAAGUCAUUCUUACUUGUCCAACUCUCUGAUAAACGUUGAUUGCAAUUUUGAAAUUUACAAAAGUAUACAACUGGCUUUUUAAUGUUUUCUUUUGUUAGUAUAGAAUACAAGAGGGGUAACUGACAAUGUUUUCUUUCUGCUCAGAAUGUUGAAGAGCUUUGCUGUUUAAUCUUUCAUGAGCAGUAACAGCUUUUAAAUACAAUCUGUAUUUAAUUAAUUCUUUCUUUUUAAAAUCUUAUCAGAUCAAUAACUGAUUUCAAAACAUUAGCUGGUUAGCUCUAAGCAGAAAAGACUGGGGAGUCAAUGGCCUGAUGUGUUAAGAAUCUGAAUUCUAGGCCAGGUGUGAUAGCACACACCUAUAACCCCAGUUGUUCAGGAGGCUGAGGCCAGAGGAUCACAAGUCCAAGGCCAAUCUGGGUAACUUAAUGAGACCCUGUCUUAAAAUAAAAUAAAAGAGCCUUGAGGUUUAGCUCAAUGGUAGAACACUUUCCUACUAUGCCCAAGGCCUUGGAUUCAAUCCCCAGAAUGGGGAGGGGAAAAAGAGCACAAUUUGCCCAACAUAGCAGGAGGUAGCCUGCAGGCCAUAGGGAGAUGGAUUAGCUCAGUGUGGCUCCCAAGCCCAACUGAUUAUCAGAAUGACCUGGGGAAUUCUUUACAAAACAGUUGCCUAUGUCCCAACUUUAGCUAUUGAGACGGGGGUUGGUUUUGCACUCUUGACCAAAUUAUUUUAUAUAAAAUCCUUCCUUAAUCUUAACAACAAACAGCAGCAGAAGCUUGUUAAACUCCAUCAGCCCAAACACUGUAAUUCCAUAUCCCAUGAGAAGAAAUUUCUUAACGAAAAUGGGACAGCAGCACUAAGGAGCCCUCAAACCCAGGAACAUCCUGGGCAGGUAGUCUGUGUCUUCUGCCAUCACUGCCAGGCGACAGGACUCUCCUAAAACCACCCUGCUUUCCACCUGUGUCCUUCCCACUCUCAUGCUAUGCUAGCUAUUUAUGACUUGAAAUCAGUUAUUGAAUAUGAUGAGACUUUAAAAUGAAAGCAUUUGAUUUAUGGAUGGUAUUUAAAAGCUGUUAUUUCUCAUGAAAGAUUUAGCAGCAGCUGGGCAUGGUGGCAUGCGCCCAUAAUCCUAGCAGCUCGGGAGACUGAGGCAGGAGAAUCUUAAGUUCGAAGCCAGCCUCAGCAAUUUAGUGAGACCUUAAGCAACUCAGUGAGACCCUGUCUCAAUGGAAAAUAUAAAAAAAAAGAGUUGGGGAUGUGGCCAAGUAGUUAAGUGCCCUUGGGUUCAAUCCUCAGUACAAAAAAAAGAUUAAGCAGCAAAGCUCAUCAAAGACCCAGCCUCCCACCUUCCUCAUCUUUAAUUUUCCCUGAGUACUUGACUGUUCAAGAUAUGGUACUAGAUCAUGCAAAGAUAGGGGGAAAACAAGUGGCCACCAGACACCCACCCUUCUCCUUCUGCUCCCUUCAUGUUGGUUCAUGGGCUUUCUAAAUAGCUUGGAAAACUAUUUCCUUCUCCCUCUCUAGUAACAACCUAAAUAUGCAACAAGAAAUAAGUGAUUAAAUAAAUUAGGAAAUGCCCUGAAUAAGUAGGGAGAGAUUCAAUGUUCUUAUGUGGAACAACUUAAUACUAUAAAUAAGUCAAUGCAAUUAACAAUCAGAUAAAGGCAUAUUAAAAUGAAAUGAACUUUUAUAUCUACCAGACUAACCCAAAAGAGAAAGCUGGAUAAUAGUGUAGGUGGGGAACUGCAUGCCUUAGGUUUAAACUGAUAUAGCCCUCCUAAGACCAUCUAAGGCCAUAAUCUGACAAAUUAAAAUGUGAUCCUCAAAUAUGGGGUGGGGGGUAUGUCGCAAGAAUUCAUGGCAGCAUAAUUUAAGGAUGGGGAAGUUUGUAGCAAUUUGAGUUUUCAUCACUAGGAAAGUGAGUGGAUAAAGUAGGGAAGACGAAAAACACAUAGUUAGAAGCAAUGGAUUUGAUACAACAACAACUGAAUCUUAAACAUUAAAGAAAAACUUUGCAGACAAUUUAAAGUUAACAGAGUUUAUUUGAGCAAAGAUGGAUUCAUGUAUUGGAUAUACCCUGAACCAGUAGAGUUUCAUUUUUUUCUUUCUUUUUUUUAAAGUUUAGUUUUAGACAGAGUCUUGCUAAAUUUCUGAGGCUGACCUCAAACUUGUAAUCCUCCUGCCUCAGCCUUCUGAGUCUCUGGGAUUACCAGUUUGCAUCACACUCAGCUUCUGAACCAGUGGAACUUCAUAUAGCUCCAUCCAGCAAUAUAGCCAAAUGGUAUUUAUUCAUAGAUAGGAAAAGGAAGUGACAUAUAGAAACCACUUGAUUGGUUAUAGCUCAGUAUUUGCCUUAUUCAGGCAUGGUAUAUUGAGGCAUCUGCCUCAUAUGGAUAUAGUCUGAUCUGCUCACAGUCUGUGAUUGGCUGCAGCUCAGCAGCUGCAAUUGGCUAAAACUCAGUGAUCUGUUAAAUGGAUAUACUCUUAGUAAGGUUGCAGUUUGUUGAUGUACAGAGUCAGUGUUAGGCAAAUUUACUUUAACAUACAGAGUUUCAGGGAGGAACAAAAACCAAAAUGAUGUAUUAACAUGAUCACCUACAUAAAUUAAAAAGGCAUGUAUACAAACAAUGUAUAAAAAAUAUUUUUAAAGAACUCAAACCAAAAAAUAAACCACUAAUAUUGUUGCUGAUUAUAUGGGGGUUGGGGGCGAAAGGCAAUAUCAAGAUAAAUUAAAUGAACCUUAGCCAUGGUUGAUGUGCCCAGAACUGAAGAGUAAGAUAAUCUUCAUCAUCAUCAUCAUUAUCAUCAUCAUCAUCAUCAUCAUCUGUGCCUGAGGUUUUCUAGUAUAGACACACACACACACACACACACACACACACACGAGAAAAUAAUAUGGCACAAUCAUAUAAUGAAAUGCCAUAUGGCCAUUAUAAAUAACAUUGCAGAAUAUAUUUACAGACAUUGAAAUAUAUUUGCUUUAAUAUCCAAGCAAAAGAGCAGAUUACUAAACAUGAUGCUCAUUAUUAUUUCAUUUGUCAGCAAAAUAAAUAAUACCUAAAUAUUAAACAGUGACAGAGUGGCUGGUGGGGUUGCACUAAUUUGAGAACUUUUCUCCUUGCUAUAUUUUGAAUUUUCCUUCAAUGUAUUUUCCAACUAUAGGCAAUAAGGAAAAAAAUAAAAGAAUUGUUGCUUUGGGGUAAACAAUAAGAAGUCAAGGAUCCUGAGAACCACAGGUACUCAAAAGAAGGCAGUGUUUUUCCAAGGAAUGCAAAUGAUCAAGCUCAGCCUUUGUGGGUCACUUUUUCCUUUUUCUUGAGACAGAGGGAGCCAAAGCUGGUUUGAGGAUCCCCAACUGUAGGACACAAAUUACAGGGGACAAUCCACAGGAAAUGCUUCAGAUCCCAACAGAAGUCAAUACAUUUCUACUCAUGAAAAUUAUUUCAGCAUGGGACCCUUAACACAGCAUAUGUAUUCCAAAAGGACAGGAUUUUCUGGUAAAGAUUUUUAUUUAGACAGGUAGGUGCUUGAGGAUGUGUUCAUGCCAACCUGACUGUGACCUUUGUAGCUGCAAAGUACCUGCUGCGGGCUUUGCAAACAUCUUCAUUCUUCACCACCCAGCUGCUGACAGCUAAUUCUGGGCAGUGCUUAGUGAAGCAGGAUGAAUAUUUGUAAGAUGCUUUGAGCUUUACCAUAUUAAUGGACUUUUUUAAAGCCAUGUGAGGAGAAAAAAUAUAAUCAUAUGCAACAUUUAAGCAUACUGGACUGGUACGUCACAGAGAUUCCCUUUCUCAAGUUCUUAUCUGCAUGCAAGUAUUCAAUAAAAUUAUGUAGGGGCCCAGGGGUUUGAACUGAGCACUCGCACUGUCUUCAACAGACCAAAGCAAUAUAUGGAAGUUUAAUCACAGUAACUAAGACUUGGCUGGUUGCAGGAUACCCUGUCACCAAUUAACUGAUUAAGCUAUAAAUAAUACUAGAUAAGCUGUGCCCAAUUGACGGGUUGUUCACUAGGCUGUAACCAAUUAUUUUACCUGCCUCACUUCUGUUUUCCUAUAAAUGCUGUCUGAUCACAUUGUUGGGUAUUUUCAGCACCUAUUCUGGUUCUGGGAGUGCCAGGUUCUACUUUGUUUUGCUUACAUAAAUUCUACUAAAUUUAAUUCGUCUAAGGCAUCUUCCUUCUAGACUCCUGGGGGCAGCAGGUAAUCGGGUGUGGGGACUGCUGGGAACUUCAUGGCCACUGUCUUCUUACUGAACUUGGGAAUGAUAGGUAAGUUCUCUCUUGGAUUUGGAAGCUCCAUGGAUUUGUUUUUCAAUAAGUUUGUUUGAGCAAAAUUUUGAUCCAGACUGGGUUGGAAGUUGUAACCAGGACAUUGGACUGGUCUUAUUAGAACUCAGGUGUCUGAUUGGACCAGAUGGAAACUGAACUGGGGUCAGUAGGAAAAGGACUGGGGCCUAGCGGGAUCUCAGGCCAGUGUGUCUGAGAGAAAACCUGGAUUCAGUAAAGUAGUUAGAUAAGGUUGCUGCAAGAGGGACUCAUGGGCUCAUCUAGAUCCUGGAACUCCACCCAGGGAUAGCUUGUGCUAUGAGGAGGACAUGCCCUUGGGGUUUGUGCCAAGGGUCAGUUUGUGCCAUGAGAGGGCAUAUGACUGGGCAUUUGUGGUAGCUACUAGGAUUGAAAAGAAAUACACCAAGUCUGGGGGCUGGAAUUCUGGCCCAUUUCCUGAAUAAGAAUGCCUGAUACCUGCAGUUUUUUAUUUGGG
rnacentral:lncRNA from 1 species